GUUCUUCUCAGAAGUGUUUGUAGGGUGGAUGUCCACCAAAGUGGCUAGGCUGCAGGGAAGGUAGGCUCCUGAGACCUGAGAACCAGAAGGGGACUCUGCUGGUACUGAAAAGAUAGCUCAGUGGUUAAUAAUAAGCCUGAGGACCUGCAUUCCGAUCUCCUAGAGCCUGCAUAAAGCCAAGCGCGGUCCCCACCUGCUCGAAGAGACUGUAUCAUUGGCUCUGUGCCACCUCACCUCCAACCCCCAUGGGCAGACAUUUCAGCUACUGUGAUCUGAAGUCUACCCCAGGGAAGACAGCAGUAACGGGAAAUAACAAGAGGUCCUCUGAUGAAUGUUGCUGAUCGCCAUGGUUACGGUUCUGAGAUGCAGCAAAGAGCAAUUAUGGUGGUAGAGAAGAAGGAAAUGCACCUCUUUGUCAGAAUUUCAUAGCAGCUGUAACAACAUGAGAGCACCCAAAUGAAUGCAGAAUAACUGAAAUAUUGUGACAUGUUAA